GGUUAAGCGACUAAGCGUACACGGUGGAUGCCCUGGCAGUCAGAGGCGAUGAAGGACGUGCUAAUCUGCGAUAAGCGUCGGUAAGGUGAUAUGAACCAUUAUAACCGGCGAUUUCCGAAUGGGGAAACCCAGUGUGAUUCGUCACACUAUCAUUAACUG
rnacentral:rRNA from 1 species